rnacentral:lncRNA from 1 species
CCAUAAAAUAAUGAACCUUAGAGUUAACCCUCGGAAUGGAGUGGAUAUUGCGUAGAAAGCAUGAGGAUUAACUCCUCUUAAUUGCUGGAUGGAACUAGGUGACAUAUUGAUAGAUUUCUAGUAUUGUUUGACGUGCUUUAUAAAUUCUAGGAAGCUAUCAGAGUGCCAUAGAACUAUCAGAUACGUGUUGAUAUAUUUAGUUGUGUAUGCAUAUUUACUGAGAUCUAAAAUGUUUGAAGACGUACCACUCAAGACAAUAUCCCUCUUGAGCAGGCUUCUUAAAAAGAAAGGAAUGAGUAUUUUGUCACGAG